CACUCCUACGGGAGGCAGCAGUGGGGAAUUUUGGACAAUGGGCGAAAGCCUGAUCCAGCAAUGCCGCGUGUGUGAAGAAGGCCUUCGGGUUGUAAAGCACUUUUGUCCGGAAAGAAAUCCUUGGCUCUAAUACAGUCGGGGGAUGACGGUACCGGAAGAAUAAGCACCGGCUAACUACGUGCCAGCAGCCGCGGUAAUACGUAGGGUGCGAGCGUUAAUCGGAAUUACUGGGCGUAAAGCGUGCGCAGGCGGUUUGCUAAGACCGAUGUGAAAUCCCCGGGCUCAACCUGGGAACUGCAUUGGUGACUGGCAGGCUAGAGUAUGGCAGAGGGGGGUAGAAUUCCACGUGUAGCAGUGAAAUGCGUAGAGAUGUGGAGGAAUACCGAUGGCGAAGGCAGCCCCCUGGGCGAAUACUGACGCUCAUGCACGAAAGCGUGGGGAGCAAACAGGAUUAGAAACCCUGGUAGUCCCAUG
rnacentral:rRNA from 1 species